GGUAAUGCCGGAUGUUCCACAUGAUCGCAUGUGAUUGUGGGAAAGAUUCUAUCGGCGUGGGAUGGGGUCGCGUCCUAUCAGCUUGUUGGUGAGGUAACGGCUCACCAAGGCUUCGACGGGUAGCCGGCCUGAGAGGGCGACCGGCCACAUUGGGACUGAGAUACGGCCCAGACUCCUACGGGAGGCAGCAGUGGGGAAUAUUGCACAAUGGGCGCAAGCCUGAUGCAGCGACGCCGCGUGAGGGAUGGAGGCCUUCGGGUUGUAAACCUCUUUUGUUUGGGAGCAAGCCUUCGGGUGAGUGUACCUUUCGAAUAAGCGCCGGCUAACUACGUGCCAGCAGCCGCGGUAAUACGUAGGGCGCAAGCGUUAUCCGGAUUUAUUGGGCGUAAAGGGCUCGUAGGCGGCUCGUCGCGUCCGGUGUGAAAGUCCAUCGCUUAACGGUGGAUCUGCGCCGGGUACGGGCGGGCUGGAGUGCGGUAGGGGAGACUGGAAUUCCCGGUGUAACGGUGGAAUGU
rnacentral:rRNA from 1 species